UACGUAGGGGGCAAGCGUUGUCCGGAAUUACUGGGCGUAAAGCGCGUGUAGGCGGGACGACAAGUCCGGCGUGAAAGGCUCGGGCUCAACCCGAGACGUCGAUGGAAACCAUCUGGCUAGAGUCCGGAAGAGGAGAGUGGAAUUCCUGGUGUAGCGGUGAAAUGCGCAGAUAUCAGGAAGAACACCUAUGGCGAAGGCAGCUCUCUGGGACGGUACUGACGCUGAGACGCGAAAGCGUGGGGAGCGAACAGG
rnacentral:rRNA from 1 species